UUCGCUUCCCUCUUUCUGUCUAAUUCACCGCUUGCUCGGCUCAAUGGCUCUUGCUCUCCACCGCCGCUUCCAUCUCAGUUUUAACAUUUUGCGCCUCUCACACGACCAUCACCCCCAUUGCCCUUCGCUCCUCCGACCAUCCCUCUACUCUUCACCAUUCCUGCCACCCCUCCAAGUGCUCUCUUCUUUGGAGAUUCGUAUAUUCCGGGGAGGUGAAAGCGAAUGCAUCCGCUUUUCUCCGCUUGAGCUUGAAUUUUGUGACGGAAUUGUGGUCGAACUUGACUACGAUACUGGCAAAUUGGCCACCAGAUUUGUUCAAUGACGGAGAGUUUAUUGUCAUGCGUGGAUAAAAUACUGGAUUCCUAAUUUCGGGAUUAAAGAGAGGAUUGAUCAUAUCCUUGCAGCUCUGUUUGCAGGUGGCUGCUGAGCGUGUCCUCGUUCUGAAUACUGUGAGAUCCAAGCUGCUUUUUGUAGUUACUACUACAGAUGAUGCCAAAGAUUCUGUAAAGGAGGAAAUUCGCUUGAGGAUGAGUCUCAGGACCAUAUAAAGAGGUAGCAGCUUCAUGAACUAGCCAUGCUGAACUCAAAUUUUAGAGAAGAGAGUCCAGGACCAAGUGGCAACAUGUCACCUCUCAAUACUAGUGGAAUGAAACGUCCCAAAACUGGGCGUUGAAAUGUUAUAUCUGCUGCUUCAUUGAAGUACUUUCUCUUGACCUCUGAUCUGCAGAGUUAUGCCUGAACAUAUACAAUUUGUGGCUAUCAACUCUCCUUACAGCUCAAUGCACAGCUACCUAAGUGAAGAAUUGAUAUGAACAGACAAAGGGGUAUUUGGAGAUAUGCGUUUUUGACUGGAUUUUUUUUUGUUUUUAAGUUUCUAUUUAUUUACUGAAGAACAUAAAACAGAGACAGAAACAGGACGAGGUGGUUGGAGCAGGGGUGGAAAAGGGAGAAACAGAAAUUGGUUUAUAUAGUUGGCCUCUUGAGUUAGGAUUUAUUUGUAACUGAUAGUUUUUAGCUUUUUGGUUUAUACAGUUCAAGCAUUUGAUCAAGUGUUUUUGUUAUAUAUGUAGGAUUUAUUUGUAACUGAUUGUUUUCUUAUCUUUUUUUUUGCAUGAAAUAUUGCUUCUUGAUUUUGUAGUUAUUGUCACAUGAGUGAAAAAUUGCUUCAAACUUUUCCUC